UGCAAGCUGGAUAGAAAUCCCAGGCUUUGUGGGUCUCCCCCAGGCUCUGGAGGCUGCAGCCCAGCAAGGAAAGAGCGAGAGGCAUGUGUGGGGUGCAGCAUCACUCUGUCCCCUGACCGAGGACCCGAGACAUGGCAUUUGCCAUUUCACUUCUCUACAUCCUGAGUGUCACUCGAGUUUCAGGGAGGAAGCAGUCAUGUUCUCUGUGAGUGAUAGGUGUGGAGGUGACAGCUAUAGAUUCCAUUCUGGGGAGUGUGCAGACCUGUGUCAGCAAAAUGUCACCAAAUGAACAGCAGAUGCUCUGCAGCGCCUGGCAGUUACGUGGUGGAAAGCUGAACUUCCACUCGUGUUGGGUUUUACAGGACGGAUAUCAAUCUGCUCCCUUAUCAGCUCAGCAGCUUAUCACAGCUGCACAGAUAGGAAAGGACAAGCGGAGCCUGCACAUGCCAAGAAACAGCGACAUGGCAUGGAGCAGAAUAAUCAGGUGAACUUCAGCCCAGGAGAAAAUGAAGUCAAACUUUCUAUAGUUCUUUGAAAGAGUAUUGCCAGUGGCUGAAUUUUAUCCUGUGGAAAAGCCAAGCUGAAAGCUUCCCUUAUUUGUAUUGCUGUUGUGUCAGGGAUAAUCUAGAACUGGUUCCCAAUUGCUGCAUCGGUGCUGUGCCC
rnacentral:lncRNA from 1 species